rnacentral:rRNA from 1 species
GAUGAACGCUGGCGGCGUGCCUAAUACAUGCAAGUCGAGCGAACAGACGAGGAUCUUGCUCCUCGGACGUGAGCGGCGGACGGGUGAGUAACACGUGGAUAACCUACCUAUAAGACUGGGAUAACUUCGGGAAACCGGAGCUAAUACCGGAUAAUAUAUUGAACCGCAGGGUGCAAUGGUGAAAGACGGUUGUUCUGUCACUUAUAGAGGGAUCCGCGCCGCAUUAGCUAGUUGGUAAGGUAACGGCUUACCAAGGCGACGAUGCGUAGCCGAACUGAGAGGGUGAUCGGCCACACUGGAACUGAGACACGGUCCAGACUCCUACGGGAGGCAGCAGUAGGGAAUCUUCCGCAAUGGGCGAAAGCCUGACGGAGCAACGCCGCGUGAGUGAUGAAGGUCUUCGGAUCGUAAAACUCUGUUAUUAGGGAAGAACAAAUGUGUAAGUAACUAUGCACGUCUUGACGGUACCUAAUCAGAAAGCCACGGCUAACUACGUG